UUGCCAUUGCCAAUGCCAUUCCAAAUGCCAUUCCAGUUGCCAUUGCCGUUGCCGUUCCAAAUGCCAUUCCACUUGCCAUUGCCAAUGCCAUUCCAAUUGUUGUUCCAGUUGCCAUUGCCAAUGCCAUUCCAAAUGCCAUUCCAGUUGCCAUUGCCAUUCCAAUUGCUAUUGCUAUUGCAGUAUGUCAGCUCUACAACUCUCAGGACAUCGAGGAAGGAAGAAGCAUAUGAAGAAAUGGACCGAUGAUCCCCAGGACCAGGAGCCUGCUACUCCUCCUGAAUCUUACCCUGCUCUCUUCUGCCAGGCGGGCCAGGUUAUCAAAGCGGGGCAUCUCGCUUCUGUUCAUGAUGGAAAUGUAGCAGGCGUUCUGUUGCGUGACUUUGGUUGCAAUGACGCCCUGGGAAAUGAAAUUAUUCCGCACUCA